rnacentral:lncRNA from 1 species
UCCAAUCAUACCCAUGACACCACAAUAACACUACAUAUUGCACACAAUCAUUCUCACCAUAGUAAACCAAUCAUAGGCUUCAAAUUAUAGCAUGAAGCUUACCACUUGGUUUUAGCUUGGAUUUCACCCAACAAAAUUCAUAAUUCCCUCACACCCAUGGCCACCAUAGCUGCCACAAAAUGAUUCACUCAUUAUUUUUCCAAGGAUUUAACCAACCAUGAACUUAAAACUCAAAAAUCCUUACCCUAGCUUGCUUGAAUUACAAAACCAAGCUUUUUCUUCCUUUCUCUCUUUUUCUUUCUUCUUCUCCUAGGGUUUAGAUGUGCUGAAAAUUGGGGUUAAAAGCUCCAGGUUUAGUGCCCAAGAAGUUUGGAGAAGAAAGAAGUAAGAA